rnacentral:rRNA from 1 species
AUUGAACGCUGGCGGCAUGCCUUACACAUGCAAGUCGAACGGUAACAGGUCUUCGGAUGCUGACGAGUGGCGAACGGGUGAGUAAUACAUCGGAACGUGCCUAGUAGUGGGGGAUAACUACUCGAAAGAGUGGCUAAUACCGCAUGAGAUCUACGGAUGAAAGCAGGGGAUCGCAAGACCUUGUGCUACUAGAGCGGCCGAUGGCAGAUUAGGUAGUUGGUGGGAUAAAAGCCUACCAAGCCGACGAUCUGUAGCUGGUCUGAGAGGACGAUCAGCCACACUGGGACUGAGACACGGCCCAGACUCCUACGGGAGGCAGCAGUGGGGAAUUUUGGACAGUGGGGGAAAGCCUGAUCCAGCAAUGCCGCGUGCAGGAUGAAGGCCUUCGGGUUGUAAACUGCUUUUGUACGGAACGAAAAGCCCUGGGUUAAUACCCUGGGUUCAUGACGGUACCGUAAGAAUAAGCACCGGCUAACUACGUGCCAGCCGCCGCCGUAA